rnacentral:rRNA from 1 species
AUUGAACGCUGGCGGCAGGCCUAACACAUGCAAGUCGAACGAGUGGCGGACGGGUGAGUAAUGUCUGGGAAACUGCCCGAUGGAGGGGGAUAACUACUGGAAACGGUAGCUAAUACCGCAUACUAUCGGAUGUGCCCAGAUGGGAUUAGCUAGUAGGUGGGGUAACGGCUCACGUAGGCGACGAGCCCUAGCUGGUCUGAGAGGAUGACCAGCCACACUGGAACGGAGAGACGGUCAAGACUCCUACGGGAGGCAGCGGGGGGGAAUAUGGCACAAUGGGCGAAAGCCUGAUGCAGCCAUGCCGCGUGUAUGAAGAAGGCCUUAGGGUUGUAAAGUACUUUCAGCGAGGAGGCGUUACGCGCAGAAGAAGCACCGGCUAACUCCGUGCCAGCAGCCGCGGUAAUUC